rnacentral:ncRNA from 2 species
UACGUAGGGUGCGAGCGUUGUCCGGAAUUAUUGGGCGUAAAGGGCUCGUAGGCGGUUUGUCGCGUCGGGAGUGAAAACAUCCAGCUUAACUGGGUGCUUGCUUUCGAUACGGGCAGACUUGAGGCAUGCAGGGGAGAAUGGAAUUCCUGGUGUAGCGGUGAAAUGCGCAGAUAUCAGGAGGAACACCGGUGGCGAAGGCGGUUCUCUGGGCAUGUCCUGACGCUGAGGAGCGAAAGUGUGGGGAGCGAACAGG